rnacentral:rRNA from 1 species
CACCCGUUCCCAUACCGAACACGGAAGUUAAGCUCUUCAGCGCCGAUGGUAGUUGGGGGUCUCCCCCUGUGAGAGUAGGACGCCGCCAAGC